rnacentral:lncRNA from 1 species
UAGUUGCCUAGUUGAAUAUUCUGAGCAUAUUUGAUGAGGGUUUCAGCUGAAUUUUCAUCUAAGCAAGAUACGAGCCAAUAGUAAUUCAUGAUAUACAUGAUGAAAUACUAGCAUGCAUGUAGGGGUGGGUUCGGUACGGUUACCGUACCAAAACCCUCAUGCCAAUUACCGUACCAAACUUUCGGUUUGGUAAAAUAAAAUCUAUUACCAUUACCAUACCAAACUUUCGGUAUACCGAAGUUUGGUAUUGCCAAAUGUUCGGUUGGCAUUGUAUGGCAAUGGUAAUUGCCACUUUGUUAUGGGACAAAUUUUUUUUUUGCUUUUUUUAACCCAAUUCAAGGGCAAAACUUUUUUAUUGUACCUUUAUCUCAUACAUUGUAGCCUAAAUUCAUCUAUUAUUCAUCAUUUACAAUUCACACACACAAUAAUUCAAAUGAUGCAUCAAGAUUCAUGAUGAAAAUUAAGCUUACAAUCCAAAUAGAAGUUACGAACCAAAACAAAUAGAAGUUUCCCCCAUGCUAAAGAUCUUCUCUAUCCUCCAUUGGUUCAAACACACCUCUAGAACUUUCCCAAUGUCUUUGCCCUUAUGACCCGUGAUCUUUAUGAAGUUUAUGAUCCGUUUGUGCAACUUUCAUUCACUAUCCAUGAAGUGAGCGGUAACUACCAUGUAGUUAAUGUUUUGUACCGAUGUCCAAGUAUCGGUUGUGAUACUUACCUUUUGAUUAUGCAUUGCUUCAAAUAACUUAGACUUCUCCAACACAUAUAAAUCCCACACAUUGGCCGCAAUCUUCUUCCUAUUUGGAAUCUUGAACCGAGGUUGAGCCUCUUUCAUCAUAUCAAAUUAUUAGAAUAUUAUAAAUAUGUGUUAUAUAAUUAUAUAUUAUAUAAUUUAUAAAUUAUAUAUUAUAUUAUAUGUUUGGUACGGUAAGGUAAUACCGUGGUAUUGAUAUCCAUUACCAAUACCGUACCAAGAAAUUUCGGUACGGUACAAUACCGUACCAUUACCGAUUGGCACAAAAUCGGUAUGGCACGGUUGGUAAUUCGGUUGGCACGGUAAUUUGGCAAAAAAAUCCACCCCUACAUGCAUGCAUCCAAAGUUUAAAGAAAAUGACAAAAAUAUUUCUUUUUUGACGGCAUGCGAAACUAGUAAUUCAUUUCUGCUUUUUUCAUGCAAGGAGCCAACGAUCAUCAUUGGCAUGAUGGAAAUGGUAAGAGUGCGGGAUGCCUCCAAAUUUUCGAAAACGAAUGAUAAAAUUUGAUCGUUCAUGACAGCAUAAGAAUUCCAUGAAAGGAGAAACCUCAAGCUGUGGAGGUAUGAAUCCAAAUGUUUUCACACUUGUGGUGGGUUGCAAACUUGCAAUGCAGUGACAAUCAAAUAAAAACAAGAAAAUUAGUUCUAAGUUGAAAAACAAAUUAAUAUGUCUUUGGUGUCAAAAUUGUUAUAGUUGACACCAAUGGUGACACUCAGGUUUAUAAAGCCACUGAAAAGGAAUGGUACCCUCAAAUCAAUGCCCCAUAGCACAUUUUGUUGUAGUGGAUCAACCUUUCAACACACCAACUUUUGCGUGAGUUUUGGACUAAAUAUGUGAAUAUUUACAUUUGAAUGUGAACAUUUAAUUCAAAAUCAAUUAACAAAACGGGGGACAUGACCAUAAGUUUUCAAACUAAUAGCUAGGGAAGGUUUCUAUUCUCCAAUAUAGACAUUUUUGAGAAAUUUCUCAAGUAGAAGGUGUUCAUGUGCAUUAUCAAUAUAAUGAAAAGAUCUUGUCAAAACUAAAGGGUUUCUUAUUGAUUUUAUGUUUUCCAGCUUAAACUUUAGUGAGAAACACUUGACUUAACAAAUGGUAAGUCCACUUGGUGAACGGCUUAUAAGUAUACCUUAAUGCGCAGGCAAAAAUACUCUCAUUUUUGACAAAAAAUGUGAACAAUAAAUCACGACUUUUUAUUGGGUUUACGAAAUUAAAGUCAUACAAGAGUUACUACACGU